UGGGGAAUAUUGCACAAUGGGCGCAAGCCUGAUGCAGCCAUGCCGCGUGUAUGAAGAAGGCCUUCGGGUUGUAAAGUACUUUCAGCGGGGAGGAAGGGAGUAAAGUUAAUACCUUUGCUCAUUGACGUUACCCGCAGAAGAAGCACCGGCUAACUCCGUGCCAGCAGCCGCGGUAAUACGGAGGGUGCAAGCGUUAAUCGGAAUUACUGGGCGUAAAGCGCACGCAGGCGGUUUGUUAAGUCAGAUGUGAAAUCCCCGGGCUCAACCUGCGAACUGCAUCUGAUACUGGCAAGCUUGAGUCUCGUAGAGGGGGGUAGAAUUCCAGGUGUAGCGGUGAAAUGCGUAGAGAUCUGGAGGAAUACCGGUGGCGAAGGCGGCCCCCUGGACGAAGACUGACGCUCAGGUGCGAAAGCGUGGGGAGCAAACAGG
rnacentral:rRNA from 1 species